UACGGGGGGAGCAAGCGUUGUUCGGAUUUACUGGGCGUAAAGGGCGCGUAGGCGGCCAGCACAAGUCAGUUGUGAAAUCUCCGAGCUUAACUCGGAGCGGUCAACUGAUACUGUGCGGCUAGAGUGCGGAAGGGGCAACUGGAAUUCUUGGUGUAGCGGUGAAAUGCGUAGAUAUCAAGAGGAACACCUGCGGCGAAGGCGGGUUGCUGGGCCGACACUGACGCUGAGGCGCGAAAGCCGGGGGAGCGAACGGG
rnacentral:rRNA from 1 species